UUAAGAUACCAAUUUUUUGACUUCCCCUAAAAAUGCACAUUGAAAACCCAGUUCAGCUCUUUGCUUUUCCUUAUAUAUGAACAUGUUCCUGUAGGAAAUUUGUUUACUUCCAUAAAAGCUCUUAACAUGCAAACUGUAGUACUUUUUGCCUUUCUUAGUGCAUAUCGCAUCUUUGUUACAUAUAAUAUUUUACACUUACUGUUAUGUGUUUUCCAAAACCUGUUUCUAAUUGGGCAGAUGGCUGUCAAGGCAUAUUUAAAACAAAAUUAUAAAAUCUGUAUAACAUUUAGCUCUGCUGUUUGCCCUAAAGCUGUAAUUACUUAGGUAUUUUUUUCAUGUCACCAGCUUAUAAACUGCAUUAGGUUAUAGCUUACAGAAAACCCUCUUGUCUGACGCACUAUGCUUCUUGCUUAUGUUACAUUCACGUUUGUAUAUUGCUAGGAUGAUCAGGUACAUUUCUAAAACAUAGGUAAGAAGAAUGUAUGAUAUACAAUUAUGAAUAAAGACACCUUACCAUUGUUCUCUCUUUUCAUUGAACCAGGAAUUAACCUACUUUCUGAAGUCUUUUUUGAUAGAUCAGAAUCUAGUUAUUCAAAGAGAGAAGAAUAAAUACCUCAUUUUUUCAUGUGGCUAUUUCAGAGAAUUCUGGUACAGUUGUGAGUAAAAGAAAGAGGAGGAUUUUUUUGGCAAGUGAAAGAAGAACUGAAUUUACAGUAGACUCAGUGCCUGAUCCCAGGAGGUGUGCAUCAGAUGAUUAACUACUUGCAAAGUCUCAUUGCUGAGAGUGAAACUGCAGGAUAGCUUUAUGGGUUUCUCUUUCAUCCUUCCUUGUGAAGUGGAAGAAACCACGACAAGAGAAUUUCUAAUGGAGUCUCUGCUGAACAGUACCGUGAAGAGGACAGUAUGAUUUCUGACUUCUUCCAAGGUUCCCUCUUUGAGAUUUCUUUUGCAUCAGUAGAAAAGAGAUUAAAUAAUAUUCGAGGAAAACUAGCUUUUGAAUGUCAUAGUGGUUAAUAAUUGCUGAUAUGUGGAUAUUAAAAAAAAAACAAUCAAUAUAUCUCAGCAGCAAACAGAAAGUUUUCUUGUUUGCAUUAUUCUGGCUGUAAUGUACUGGAUCAGAGGAACCCAGGCGUGCAGGAGUUAAAUGUUACUUUCAAUAAGAAAUACCUGUGGGAGAAAAUGGAGUAACAGGAAUAAUGUCUGCAAGCAAACAUAGCGAGAAGAUAACUUUUAGCACAGCCAGGACCACAAAGAGCAUGGAGAAGACGCAGAGGCAGUCCACAGAAUUAAUGGAAAGUAAGACUUUUUUCAGUUCUUCUAAGUAAACUAUAAAAAAUGUAUUGCAACCAGAAAGCCUCUGAAAAUCAUUUCAUGGACAUCCCAAAGGAAAAGACCCCCUUCAAAGUCAGUUAACCCAUUUUAUUUUUGUAUUUUUUUUUCUCCUGUAUCCUUCAUUUUUUGUAAUUGACAGUGGUCAUUGUUCUCACAUCUGUUCUGAUGUGAGAAAAAGAUACAUAAUAACCUUGCUCAGGAGGUUAUAAAGCCCCUUUGUAAAAAUUGUAUGCUUGAUGUUAGGAAAAGAUGAAGGCAGUACCACCAUUUCUGUAUUGCUUUACAUCAAGGAAAACAUUAAUUAAUAUUUUGACUGUAAUAAAUAAUCUUGCUUUUCCUG